UCACCCCUCAAGCUCCCGGGCUUGGUGUUGGAUGGUUUUGGUGGGACCUGCGGCGUUUCACCCCUCCUAAAGACAAUGACGGCGGCCUCGUUGGACCCCCGGUACACUGAGCUUCUUAACUGAGCACGUACUGGAUGCGGGUGCGCGGGGCACGGUCUGCCUCCCCUCAGGGAGAACUCUCAA
rnacentral:misc_RNA from 1 species